GACCGCAUAGUGUAGUGGAUUAGCGUGUCUGACUUUGAAUCAGAAGGUUGUGGGUUCGACUCCUCCUGUGGUUG